UCUCUGGUAGCUCAGAUGGUAAAGAAUCUGCCUGCAAUGCUGGAGACCCAGGUUCGAUCCCUGGGUUGGGAA
rnacentral:tRNA from 1 species